AGAGAGGAAGGAUAACCGGAAAAGCUCCCGAGUGACAGACUGAUGGCCGGAAAUGCCUGUGUGCGCAUAGCUGUCCGCCCCUCGAGUGAGAGUAAGGCUGUGUUGGCGCUCCGUUUCAGCCUCCUUUUUGCUCUCUUGCUACAUUCCUGGAGAGGGAGGGCCACCUAGCCACUUCUCGGCCGAGGCGAAGGUUCGAGGACCGUAUCCUUUGUCCGAGCAUCGCUGCAGUGGCGGACCACACGGAAAAAUUGUUCUAUACUCAGCAUUUUUCUCAACUUUUUCAUCCACCUCCAAGAUCUACAAUUCGCUGCAGUAAGAAGUAAACCAGCCCUCAGUGAUCCAGUGAAACCGUUGCUGGAGUGCAGAACCUGGAAAAUUUAAGUGCUGAGGUCAAAAUUCAGGAUGAACAGAUGGAAACAGAAACAUAGUUCAGAGGCUGAAUAAAGAAUUCCAAGACCUACAGCCAAGAGGAGACAGUUUGAAAAUUGUACCUUUGGUUUAUUGUCCAAGGGUGGCAGAGUUAUUCCUGUUGUAAAGUGUUUCUGCUUUUUUCCUGGCGACCACUAAAAUCAUACAGGAAUGUGUUUUUAUUAAAUUGCAAUUUUUUUCCCAUUCAUUUUAAUCAUUGAAAUAAAAUCAAUUCAUAGUAAGACUAUAUUUAAAGAGAUAUAUAAAUGUUAUGCGAAAUAUCUUUGAAGAUAAUCAGUGUGAUUGUUGUUAUUGAAUGAGAACUCACUAAUUUUUCUGCCCUUGGAUUUAAAGAUGUAACUACAAAAGCAAGACCAAACACCAGUUACUUUCUAAACUUUGAUUUUCUUACUGUUCAGUAAAAAUGCUGCUUUACAAUGUAGUUAAAAAGGGAGUAAAAUUUGCAUUGUCUUUUUGGAGAGAUGAAUAUUCUAUCUUUACUUUUAGUCCAGAAUGAGUUCUAACCAUCAAAAUAAGUUACUAUUAAAUCAUCAAUUUUCUUCUUCAGUGACCCUCAAGUGUAGUAUGCAAAUGAAAUCACGUUUUGGCAAUUUACAAAUGUAUCUAAUUCAGAUUUUCCCCAACACCUAAUGGACAAUAAUUAUUGCAUAUGCAAAAAAAAAAAUCAUUAAAUGUUCACAAAUAAUGCUUGUGAUGUUUCUCAUUUUCCAAGUCUGAUUCAUUUUAAGAAUUCAGAAAGUGAAGGUAGCAUUUUAUAGUCAGUAGUCUUUUUUUUUUUUUUAACCUUUUCUUAAAUGUCAAUUUGAUAGCAAACUUGAGGUCAUAAUACCUUUAAGACUCAAAUUUAAUUCAGAUGUAAGUGAGGCUACAAUUUACAAAUAAAUAUACUUCCUCAUGAAAAUAUUUAACCAUAUUUAAAUCUUUUAAUUUUAAAAUAUUUCAGUUUCAAGUGGAAAUCCAAUUCCAGUAUGAAGUGAUAAAUCUGUAUGCUUAAACUUCAUCUUUUACAAAUUUAGUGUAUUGCUCUUAACAAAAUUUACAACUUGGUUACAUUGUAUAAGAACUUCAUUAAGCCAUGGAGACUUGUUUCCUGCUUUGUGUUCAUGGUGAAUAAACAAUGUAUAAAUCCAA